UACGUAGGGUCCGAGCGUUGUCCGGAAUUAUUGGGCGUAAAGGGCUCGUAGGCGGUCCGUCACGUCGGGAGUGAAAACUCGGAGCUCAACUCCGAGCCUGCUUCCGAUACGGGCAGACUAGAGGUAGGCAGGGGAGAGCGGAACUCCUGGUGUAGCGGUGGAAUGCGCAGAUAUCAGGAAGAACACCCGUGGCGAAGGCGGCUCUCUGGGACGGUACUGACGCUGAGACGCGAAAGCGUGGGGAGCGAACAGG
rnacentral:rRNA from 1 species